rnacentral:rRNA from 1 species
UACGAAGGGGGCUAGCGUUGCUCGGAAUCACUGGGCGUAAAGCGCACGUAGGCGGCUCUUUAAGUCAGGGGUGAAAUCCCGGAGCUCAACUCCGGAACUGCCUUUGAUACUGUGGAUCUUGAGUCCGGGAGAGGUGAGUGGAACUCCGAGUGUAGAGGUGAAAUUCGUAGAUAUUCGCAAGAACACCAGUGGCGAAGGCGGCUCACUGGCCCGGUACUGACGCUGAGGUGCGAAAGCGUGGGGAGCAAACAGG